UGGUCAUUCCAACAUAUUGGAGGCCACAAGGGCAUUCAAGCAGAUAAAUAACAUUUUUCGUAGUACAGUUUAUAAAAUCAUUAAUUUUGUAAACCUUAUUUGUUACUUUAAAGGUAAAUUCAAUUGUUUUGGAUGGUACUGUAGGAUCGGUGGUUUUACAGACUAUACACGAUUUGCAUUUACAGAAACUUUUAAUUUGAGGGAAUAAGGAUAGAGCCGGUUUGAUUUGUGUUUCUCUAGUGAGAUUUUUAGUUAAGAUUAAUUUAAAAUUAGGAGCUCCUCUAAAUACUACAUUGGGAUGUUCCGGUAAAAUUUUGUUAAGGGUUUCGUCCUGUUUUAAAAUAUGCCAAUGUUUCUUUAUUAUCUUUUUU